UGAAUUUAGUAGAGUUUCUGAUUGCUCCAGGGUAUAUAUGUGCUCACAUGUAUGUUAGAAGUGCAGCAAAAAUGAUUAAACACACGAGGGAAGAGGCUUCCAUCUAAAAAGUGAUUAAAAAGACUAGCAUUGUUUAGUUUACAAAACACAAGAGUAAAAGAUGAUAUAACAGAAGCAGGGAGAAGGGGCUAUUUAUUUUGUUUUCUCUGAAGCACAAAUAUGCAUGGAAAGGUGAAGGAAAAAUGAUGAAAACAUUUGUGCAGUGUAUAAUCAACCCUGCAACUCAUUGCUGCGGGAUAUUAGGCAAAUUUUUCAAAAACAUUUCUAAAUGUGUUUGAUGCUAUGAAUAAUAAGCCUCAGUUCCUGAGGUGAAGGAAAAGCAAAAACAAACCAUCUCCCCAAACUGGAAGGACGGUUAGUCCCUGUCCUUGUGCUUAGAUUGGUUAGAGAUGGAAUUUUUGUCUCCAGAGGGAUGGCAUUAUUUAUUUAUCAAGUGCAUGAUAUGGGAGUGCUUGUUUCCUUCAAGCAGGAGGUUCUGUAGAAGGCAAUUAAAAGGGUCAGCAAGUGCAGCUGUAUGAAGUCAUUGCCGAAAGAUUUGCCCCAGAAUACAUAAACUUAGUAAUGGUGAAGUGGCUUGGGUUCAGUUACUUUGUUCUCAGCUGGUUAUUUUCCUCAAAGAACUUCAACUACAGCUAGGUAGUUGAAGGCUGUGAAUGAAAAUGGAAUAAAAUAUAUUUAUGUCCUUGGAAAGUUCUUCACUAAUCCUGCUUGUUUCUACACGCUUGCACAUGCCAAGUAAACACUUUCGCUGCAGAUACAGCCUAUUUUGGGUAUAAAAGGGAAACUGUUGUACCUCCAAUAUUACUCCAAGCUAGCAGUGAGUGGAGUCUGGAUUUUAAUGGUCCCCUCCACACCAACCAGUGCUGAGAGCAGCCUGAGAGGGAGUGGAUCUGGGUGCUGAAGUGACAUGGCAGCCCAGUGCCGCGCUGCUGGGGCUGCCGUCGGCUGCGCUCCCACAUCCCGUGCGGCUGCAGUUGGUGCUGUCAGAUCGGGAAUGAGCUGGGGAGCAGGGGAGGUACUGCUGCGAGCAGAAUUAGUACCUGCUUAAAAUGUACAUGGAGAACAAACUGUCUUUUUAAAAGAAUUUUAAAUGCUACUUCUGGCUUAUGAAUAGUUUCCUUGCAACUGUCAGGCCAUCUGCUUGGAGAGGGGUCUGUGCAGUCAUGAAAAGGAUCUUAAAAUAUACUCUCCUCAUAAACAUCUUUUGUUUGGAAAAUCCACAUGCAUCACAUAAUGCAGUAAAUGGCAGCACAGGCUGAAGUGAAACAUUUUUAAAUGCCGAGGAUGCAACCUUGGAUACAGCUCCCCCCGCCCCCCGCCUCCCCUCUAUUAAUAAGCACGCUUUAAAUGCACCCUCAGACACAUUCUCUUACAGCCUCAGAUUGGCAGCACCCACCUGCUGGGAAACAUGCUAAGAUAACUUCCUUGGGUACAUCCAAAAUACCAAACUGGGUUGUGGGCAGAAAAGAAACAGGCUCCUGCAAAGCAGCUCUCUCUGAGAUUACAUCAUUCUCACAGCCAAUUUUCUGCCUACACUGCACCAUUUUCUACGGGGUGUGUGUGUGUGAAAAAAAAAUAGCAUACGUUCGUGUGUACACAAUCAAAAAGGCCAAAUUAAGGAUGUGCAAGCACAUCUAAUUCUAGCAUUUCCUAACUUUUGGGAGCUUAGGUUUUCAGAACUGCUUGGUACGUGAAUAUAUACAAUAUAUACAUAUGCACAUAAACAUUUAUUUGGUUUGCAUGCUUAGAAUAUGAAAUCGUGUGUAUGAGAAGAGUGUUAUGCUUUCCUUACAUUUUUUUCUGUUUAUUUUCAUCAUUCUUUGGUCAUUUUUUUGUUUACUCACUUUUUGUUAUUCUAAUGUAAGUUCAAAUAUACAAAAUGCUAAUUUUCUUUUACAUAAAAAUGUAAUAAAACUUUCUGGCUUUCUUUAUAAACAAAUUUUAGCAGGAAUGUUGAUGGGAUGCUGUAUACCAAGUAAAGAAGAAAUACUGUUUAAUUAUCUUCCAUAUAAAAUCCAAUAAAACGUUCUGGCUUUUCUUAUUUUUCUGUACUGGGGAUUAACAUCAGUGUCUUUGUGAUGAGAAAUCUGCAUUCAUGGCUCCUCUAUUUAGAUUUAAAUAGGAAUUAUAGUUCUUGGCAGAAAGGGAUCUGUCAAAUAUCACAGCAUUUGUGGCAGGUGGUCACUGCAUUGCUUAGUACAGACACUGCCUGCUUAACCAUAGCCUGAAGUAAACAUCAAAAGUCAAUUAUUCUCUUUGUAAAUAUUUUAUUUAUAUUUUGGAGGCUAACAAACAUCUUUUCAGUGCUUGGCUGAGACCUUCCUCCGCGGAUCAUAAUUCUACUGAACCUGCAUUUGGGUGGUUAAGAAUGUGUUUAGCAAUCCAGGGAUCCAAGCUUAGCUACCACUGUAUAUUGGGUUCCAUAACCCAAUUCUCUGCUUCAAAACCUUUAAUGACUUGGCUGGGUUGAAGUGGACAGAGCUAAAACUUGUCAUGGUUGUUACCACUGCAGCUGCCAAUUAGUACGACAACCAUGUAUUAUUUUGCCUUUCCUCAGUUAAACUGUAUUUUGAAUAUAAAUAAUGAAAAAGAAAAAAACCAAACAGGGUCCAUUUCCUUGGAUUUAACACUUUGGGGGUGGGAAAGCAGGAGGUCUGGUUUAAUAGCAAGAUAAGUGUGUGCAUAGUGGCCCUGCAGUGGUAACUUGAAUGCACACUGAGUAGCAAAUGUGGAACAAGAGCUGAACUCUGAGGGUCAAAUGCCUUGAAGAAAUGUCUUGUUGCAGGGUGAACCUACUAAAAUAAAAUGACAGUAUCUGGCAAGUUAUGCAUACAUGGCAGAAUCUCUCCCCAAACCACUAUGGUGUGGAAAACAUCGAAAGAUGCUGCAACACAUUUUAGAUCCUUAUUUGAACUCUGUCUGAACUCUUCGGGCCAUUAACUAAUCAGAUCAUCUCAUUUAAACAAUGUUAUAAAAAUAAUCAAGUACUUCUGCCUACAUAAAUACACUUUGAAUAUAUUUACCUUAAAGAACUGAGAUUUCUUGGGUGUUUACUCCUGACAUUCGGGAAACAGAAGGAGCACAAAAUGUUAAGGAGGAGCAGAAUUCUCUGAGAUGGGGCUCUGGGUAAUUUUCCCUGUAAGCCUGUUUGGUGGCAAGUUAAUUGACUCCCACAUUACUGAAACUGCAGUGUACUAAAGCACUGGGUGCUCGUUUUGCUGCACUAUUUGACUGGCAAAGGCCAUCUGUUCUAUCCCAUCCAUCCACAUGCACAGCGUCUAUUGUUGUCAACAGGAUUCACGUACACGUGGAUCAAGGCAAGCAUGUGCCUCAAACUGCUUUGAUCCCUAGAACAUGGAUUUUUCAUUUUCUUUGUUUCUUUGUGCUCACCCAGUAAUAAUACUUGUCAUCUGAGAAUUCAUAUUGAUCUUGUCAUUGCCUUAAAAUUGGAUGACAAUUACUAUCUCUGUCAAAAUUCGAUCUGAUGAAAUGGCUCCAAUUAGGAAGGAAAAAGAAGGAAUCCAUCACAGCAGGGAGCAUUGCAUUUGGCUUUAGAGUAGAAAAGCUUCUAUUAAAUGGGAACUGUUGGAAGAAGCAAAUGGGAACAAGUUUGACAGAUAUUAGGGCACCAGUCUCAAAAUCCAUAGAAAUUAGGUAUACAUAUGAAAUGAAUAGCCAUUUAAUAUUUGCAGUCCGUAUCUCUCUGCAAAUCUGAGUUGAAACUCCUCUGACAAUAAAUGCCAGUAACUGUUGUUUUCAUUUUCUGAUUUGGUCAGACACACAGUGGCAGUUGAUGCCAGGCUCCCUACAUUUUCCAAUCCAGUUCUGAUCACCAGUGUAAUUAUAAUACAUUAUCAAGAGUAGAUUUGCUGAAGUUUGUGAAAUGAUAACAGCAUAAAUUACAUCUUGUUUCCAGAUACUGAUCUUACCUUGAAACUAAAUGGGAAGAGGUAGUGAAAGAAUUGAAAACAAAAGAGCAAGUGCACUUCCAUUGCUACUGAUAUUGACACUAAAGCAAACAACUUAUGCCUGCCAAUUACAAAUAAAAUUGUGCUAAUUACAGAUUUUUUGGUUUAUAAAUUAGCCCUGAAAAAUUAGUGCGUGCAUUUGUGUGUGUGUAGGGGUGGGGAAACCUUUUUCCAAACCAAAGAUGUUUGUUUCAUAUCAAAUUAAUGUUUUAUUCAACUAAAAAAAACCUGACAGUGUUCUGUUUCUGAGGUCAGGUUCAUCUGUAAUUCUGGGCAGGUCUUACCUGGGAGCAGAGAGAAGGAUGUUAGUGCUCAGCUCUCCUCAAAGGACUGGAAGCCUCCACCCACCCAGCAGGAUGAUCUCAGCUCAAGGCCAUUCUUGCAUUGGUUUCUCUGAAUUGGCCCAGUAAAUGCUGUUUCUUCACAAAUAAAAGCAUGGCAGGAACUGGCUUUUUAAUUUGUACAAUUAUUGAGCUUCUGAACAUGAGACUGCACAGUUUACCUCCCAGGAAAAUCAUGUUUUCUUAACUAUAUGGCAGAGCUCCUCAAGACACUGAGGGAACCCAACCAAGCACACUAUGCCUUUAGCAGGUGGUGACUUUCCAAGCUAAAAAUGCAGGAUCUGUGUGAUGCAGAGAUGAGUCACCACACCUCACACAGCAACAGGCUCUUUGGUGAAAGAAGGUAGGUGAGCUGGUGCUCACAGGUCUUCUUCUAGCAAGCUGGGUAGACAUGAUUUCCUUUUCCCCAAACCUUUCUCCCCCACCUCUGUUUUCAUUAGCUAAAAACCUACUUACUGACUCUGACCUACAUUUGCAAUAGUUCCGGAAUGCAACAGAACUGUGUUUCUGGGGAAUUUGCUAUUUGCUAAAAAUUUUAAUCCAAGCCAUUUUGAAAUGUUAUAUGUUAACUGAGCAAACACAGCAAUCAGAAAAGUAUACAAACCCCAAGCAAUUGUCCUGGAUUUGUUUACAACACACUGCUAUUAAUGAGCGUCUGGGAUGAGUAUGGGAUCUUGUACUAUGGAUCUCAUGAUCUGUACAAUAAUGGCUGAUUUUAAUUGACUUUUGCUUCAUAUAGCAAAUCCCAAUUGGAGAAGUUCCAGGAUGCUGCUAGUGAAGAACUGUGGGCGGGUGCAUGUUUUGAAGUGAUGGUAAACAUUGUGACAUAUACUGUGUGUACCACAUAUUCUCAUAUGCACAUUUUGACUUUUGUUGCCUUGGCUUUCACACAGCAUUUCUAACAUAGACAUUCCUAUUUGCCAGUUUGAGUGGAAAUCUGUUAAUAUGUGAAUACUGCUCGCCAGCACGUACCAGCAUCGCUGGACUCUCAGUACUUCUCUUCUCCCAUGGAACACCCAGCCCUGCCUGCUCAGAGGGGCUCCACAGGACUGUGGCAUCUGUGUGAGCAGGACUGGCAGAGCUGUGCAAACGAGGAGUGAUGAGAGCUGCUAUGAGAAACCAUAACUUUGAGAACGUGUAACUCAGCUCAGUGAGUGAUCCACUAAUUCCCAAUGAAGCCAUCUGUGAUGGUAACUAAAAUGGGAACGGAACAGGAUUCACUUUGGAGCGCCCGUCAGAAGUGCUCCCCUCCGGCACGCGCUGCCAGCAGCAGCAUCUCUUCCAAGAUCAUUCCCAAGAUGAUUUGCUGGAGCCUGCCUAGGCAUGUUCCUGUGUGAGGAACUUGGUGAGCAACCUACUCGUGUGAGGCCAGAGAGCAUCCAGGAUUCCCUGAAGGAGGCAGAGGAAUCCCUGCAGAACUCCUCAUGCAUCCCCAUGGGACAGGACACAAGAUUUGGGGAAAACCUUCCAUGCCUUUGUUAACUCACCCACAAAAUGAGUGGAUUGGUGCAGUGGAGCCCCUCGCAUUGACAUAGCCAGCUCUUGUCCCAGCCAGGUGAGGCUGUGCCAGGCAGGGCAGCCUGGCAAUCCUGAGACAUAACAGGGAGCUGUACAUCCCCAAGAUGGCUUGGAAGUUCCAGGUAAUCACAGUAUGGAGCAUAACGUGGAUUUAUAUUUGUUACUUUACUUGCCUAUGGUACCUCCCAAGAGCCUUCUGAGGCAUUCCAUUCUUUAAUAAGCUGAAAGUGCUCCGAGAUUUUUCUAAUGAAAAUGAUAUAGGAGCGCACAGUGUUAUUAUUAAAACCUCUCUCUUUUUCUCUAGGAACUGCUAAAAUACAUUUACAGUUUAUAUCCUUUUUG